GGGUGGCAAUCCGAGAUGGGUUCCUUCGUAUGGAAUGCAAUAUAUGGUUGAUUUUUUUUUACGGCCUCAACUGUUGGGUCGUACUAUACACAAAUUUUAAAGCAUUCCGAUCUCUCUCAUCAUCUUUCUACAUAGAUCUUGAAUCAGAUAUCGUCAAAGUAAAAGCUGAGAUCAAGAUGAAGGGCGAGAUAGAGGUGAAAACUGAGGC
rnacentral:lncRNA from 1 species